UUGAACGCUGGCGGCAGGCCUAACACAUGCAAGUCGAGCGGAUGAAGGGAGCUUGCUCCUGGAUUCAGCGGCGGACGGGUGAGUAAUGCCUAGGAAUCUGCCUGGAAGUGGGGGAUAACGUCCGGUAACGGGCGCUAAUACCGCAUACGUCCUGAGGGAGAAAGUGGGGGAUCUUCGGACCUCACGCUAUCAGAUGAUCCUAGGUCGGAUUAGCCAGUUGGUGGGGUAAAGGCCUACCAAGGCGACGAUCCGUAACUGGUCUGAGAGGAUGAUCAGUCACACUGGAACUGAGACACGGUCCAGACUCCUACGGGAGGCAGCAGUGGGGAAUAUUGGACAAUGGGCGAAAGCCUGAUCCAGCCAUGCCGCGUGUGUGAAGAAGGUCUUCGGAUUGUAAAGCACUUUAAGUUGGGAGGAAGGGAAGUAAGUUAAUACCUUGCUGUUUUGACGUUACCAACAGAAUAAGCACCGGCUAACUUCGUG
rnacentral:rRNA from 1 species